AAAAUAAUGGAUACUUCGUGCAAGAGAUCUUACCGUGCCUAGCGCGGAGGGAUGCUUUGGAUGGGUGAACCGUCGUGGCUACGCUGGCGCAUGAGUUGUUUUGGACCUGUGACUGUUUGGAGGACCCCCGUCGAUGUGCGGCCGACUCCUGGCGCCAGCGUCCCUUCAGUCAUGCGGGCAUGUUUUGCCUGCUACAUUGACAAGUGCUUGCGUGCUGGUACCCGUCCCACGGGAAGUUGGAUUCGCUACAUGUUGCCUUCGUCGAGCGCACCCUCUGGGUGUGGCUCGUCGGCUCCGGAGUGCUUGUGGCAUCGCCUCGUGCUGCCGUCCUCCUAGGUCGGCACCACCAAGGACACGUCGCUUGCGCUUUUGGUUGCGGAUGCGGUUGACACUGAAGGCCGAAGGGGCGUUCGCCUCCCGACCCUAAAAUCUAGUCCGUUUGGGAACAACGACAGCCAGCCCGGCCGACGCCUCGUGUGGAGGCCGUGGCUGGCUCGUCGACGAGGACAUGCUACCUGGUUGAUCCUGCCAGAGAUCAUAUGCUUUUUUACCGAAAUGGGGAUCACCGGAGCAGGUCUUGCCUCUUCCUCUCCACGGUUACGCGGUAGGGUAUACA
rnacentral:misc_RNA from 1 species